GUCCGGAAUUACUGGGCGUAAAGAGCUCGUAGGUGGUUUGUCGCGUAGUCCGUGAAAUCCCUGGCUUAACUGGGGGCGUGCGGGCGAUACGGGCAGACUGGAGUACUGCAGGGGAGACUGGAAUUCCUGGUGUAGCGGUGGAAUGCGCAGAUAUCAGGAGGAACACCGGUGGCGAAGGCGGGUCUCUGGGCAGUAACUGACGCUGAGGAGCGAAAGCGUGGGGAGCGAACAGGAUUAGAUACCCUGGUAGUCCACGCCGUAAACGGUGGGUACUAGGUGUGGGUUUCCUUCCUUGGGAUCCGUGCCGUAGCUAACGCAUUAAGUACCCCGCCUGGGGAGUACGGCCGCAAGGCUAAAACUCAAAGGAAUUGACUGGGGCCCGCACAAGCGGCGGAGCAUGUGGAUUAAUUCGAUGCAACGCGAAGAACCUUACCUGGGUUUGACAUGCACAGGACGCCGGUAGAGAUAUCGGUUCCCUUGUGGUCUGUGUGCAGGUGGUGCAUGGCUGUCGUCAGCUCGUGUCGUGAGAUGUUGGGUUAAGUCCCGCAACGAGCGCAACCCUUGUCUCAUGUUGCCAGCGCGUUAUGGCGGGGACUCGUGAGAGACUGCCGGGGUCAACUCGGAGGAAGGUGGGGAUGACGUCAAGUCAUCAUGCCCCUUAUGUCCAGGGCUUCACACAUGCUACAAUGGCCGGUACAAAGGGCUGCGAUGCCGUGAGGCUUAGCGAAUCCUUGAAAGCCGGUCUCAGUUCGGAUCGGGGUCUGCAACUCGACCCCGUGAAGUCGGAGUCGCUAG
rnacentral:rRNA from 1 species